rnacentral:misc_RNA from 1 species
CACAACUUUGAUAUACCACGGACACCGCUAUUUAGUAAACAAAAUUCUUGCUAAAUUUUGUUUGUUUUAACAUGUAAUUUUGCUGAAAAUGACGAAGUUGCGUGUACAACAAUACAUGGAGAAACACAAACUAACACCGCUUUUUGAGGACUUGAUGAACAGAGUGCUACAUGAGCAGCCUGAUGAUCCGAUUGUUUAUCUCAUCAAAUGUCUCUACAAGAAAGCUGCCAUUCCAGUUCCAAAGGAUCUAAAGACAAGCCCAGUGAGGAAAAGUUCUCCUGAAAGAUUAGCCAGAAGAAGCAAAAGUCCUGAGAAAGGAGCCACACAAGCAUGGGCUGUUGCAAGUGGACCAGAUUUGGUAGACCGAUCGUACGACAAACCAUGGUUAAAACACAGAAAGAAGGUUAGGUCAAAAGAUGAGGAGCGAUCUGAUUCAAGACAAGGAAUUCAGGGAGAAAAACUUGAGUGUGCUCUCCAGAUAUCAAAGAAAGUUUUAUGGCCAAGGACAGGAAAGAAACAGCAGAAAUCUGGCUGGGUGUCUGAUACUAAGGUGACGGCAACAAGUUUUGAUGAGCUGUUUGAAGAGGAUGCACAUGCUGGUUCCAGGCAUACAGAAAAUGCAGGAGCCAGACAGAAAAAUGAGGAAGGCACAACCAUAACUAAAGCAUGGGCUCGGCAUGUGGGUUUAGAUGAUAGUGAAGACCCAAAUUACAGAAGUCGAGGAUAUUCUGGUCCACGUUGCCAUAGAAAUGAGGAAGAUCCACUGGAAGGGGAGAUAAUGCUGGCCAAGGAGGAAUCUACUGUUGAGAGUGCUGUUAGCACUUCAAAGCCAAAGGGAGCUAAGCUUGAGGCUAAGAGACAUAGACAAGAUCUUGAUAAGUUGAUACAAGAGUCGGAUAAAGUAUCUGUUGAUUCAGGAUUUGAUGGGGGUAGAAUGGAUGAUGAUCAAGAUGAUGCAAUAGAAUUACUGGAGGACCCAGAAGACCUGAUGAGAGAAGGUGUAACAAACAUUCCAAAAUCUGGAUAUAAAUUGAGCAGAAUUCUACGACAAAGACAAGAAGAAGCAAAUGUUAAAUUAAAUAUCAAUCUUUUUACUGGUACUGCCUCGACUGAUUCUGACUAUGGGAACCAGUAUGGAGACUACUAUGAGUCCGACUUGGAGAGGCCUCCUACUGGGAUGUCAUUUCAAUCUAACAGAUAUUCAGAUUUAUCACCAGAUGUCACUGACGAUGAAUUUGAAAGUGUAUCUCAAGUCGUUGGUCCUAGACAGCCAGUAUGGAGUGUUCCAGAUUCUGACGGAGAGACAUACAGGGUAGAACCAAACAGGAAAACCAGACAGGCAAAAUUCAGUGCAACGGCCCCUGUACGGUUUGAUGAUAAACCACCAUUUCCUAGGAAAUCCAUGGACAGUGAAAAUAUAUUUUUAGAUGGCAAUAAAACCUGGACACCAGGGCAGGACAGAACAGAGAGAGAAAAGCCCCGGUCAGGUUCCCCUGUAAAUGUACGAGAUUCUGUCAGAGACUCUGUGAGAUCUCUGAGAUCACAAGAAGGAGGUGGUUGGAACAUUCCAGAUGAUACUGAGGUUUCCUUAGCAACAGACUGGUCAGAACCUAAGACAAGUGGUAGAGCCUCUCCAGGACCUCCUAAAGCCUACUGAACAGAGAAGAACAGAAUCUACCUGUAUCAAUAUGCCGUCCAUUAUUUAUUGCUUAAUUCUACAUACACAACUCUUGUAUUCUACAUAUCAAAUGCAAGUCUUGUAUUCUACAUGUCACAUGCGAGUCUUGUAUUCUACAUGUCACAUGCGAGUCUUGUAUUCUACAUAUCAAGUGCAAGUCUUGUAUUCUACAUGUCAAUUGCAAGUCUUGUAUUCUACAUGUCACAUGUUACAUGUUUGUUGCCAAGUGGGAAUUUCCAUUCAUGGUUUUCAAGAAGAUGGUGAAAAUACAAUAUUCCUUGCUGUUGAAUAAAUUUCUAAUGGCUUAAAUGCUAUAUCUCAUUUUGAACUGUGGUUCUGUUAAAAAAUUCAAAAUGUACAAGAAAACAGUUUUUGCACAGUUUACAUACAUGUGAUUAUGUUGGUAAAAAAAAAAUGAAUUAGUAUUUUCUAAAGUUUUAGAUUUAUUUAUCAGUACACUGGAGCAUAGAUUUGCUUCAGGUGAGUGACUUUGUCAUUACCUUUUUAUAAGUCAUGUUGACGAUCUAGAAUUAUCCUGACGAUUGUUUACAAGUUGAGUUGUACACAUAUCAGUCUUUAUUAUGAAGUAGUUGCUUAUAUUUAUAUUAAUUUUCUUAUAUUACUUUACAUGUUUUACAUGUCUAGAAAUUAAAUUAUUUUAUGAUGA